UCCCUGGUGGCUCAGACGGUAAAGAACCUGCCUUCAAUGCAGGAGACCCGGGUUCAGUCCCCAGGUUGGGAA
rfam:Ovis aries breed Texel chromosome 14, whole genome shotgun sequence.